ACCAAUUUGGACUAUUUUAAGUAGGUUCCUUACAUGAAAUCCAAAUAAAAAUCAAUUUAAAUUGCAGGUUGUAAUGCAACAAAAUAGGAAAAACUCCAAAGGGGAUGAAUACUUUUGCAAGGGACUGUCUUUGGUUGAAACAUGGACACACAAAAAAAUUGCUGGUUAGGGCAGGAGCCAUCAUUAAUCCUCCCAAUACCUACAGCACUCAUAGUAGCAGCCCAGCAAGGACGCGUAGAGGCCAUGCGAUACCUCAUUAGGGAAGGUAGGUUACAGUGUGUGCAAUGCUGUAACAGAUGACAUGGUUGGCCUUAUAGUACAUAUGGCUUUUUACUGUAGUCACACAGACAGGAGAUACAUUCAUUCUUAUUAGACUCAUUCAGUUUUCUCCAAAGUCACUUUUUCCUCAGGUGCUGACAUCAACAUGCAGACGUGACGGUGCUACAGCCCUGUAUGAGGCCAGUAAAAAUUGCCACAGGGAGAUAGUGGAGCUGCAAUUCUCUUCCAUCACAGACGCCAAUAAACCCACCAAGACAGGAAUCCUACCUCUACAUGUUGCUGCUCCGUAUGGACACCAUGAUGCUAUCAUACUUUGUAUGAAUAACCUACCUCUUCUCAAGUGGCUUUUGGUCAAUGGCUGUGGUAUCUGGGCCUACUUCAGAUGUGCAUAUGGUUGCAGCCCACACCCAGCCCAGGACAUCAUAGUCAUCGACAUCAAUCAUGUCUCUUUUAACCUGCACAUGACUUGUUGCCAGCAAAGUACAGUUUUGUGAGUUGAUCUCAUCAACUGUGUGUAACUGGGCAGGGCCCAUCGUAGACUUACUGCUGGACUACGUUGGUGAUGUUCAACUGUGUGCCAGACUCAACAAGCUCCUGGAUGGAUGGCAGGAAUGGCCCAGCAUCAAGACCAAGUCAUUGUCAGCCCAUCCACUGAUGCACCUGUGCAGGCUAAGGAUCCAUGAGCAGAUGGUUGUGUCCAGACUCAGGUCUCUGGACAGCCUACCCCUCCCAGAGACUGCUGCAGUACCUCAGCCUGACCAGACACAGCUUUGAUGACUUCUGCCCUGAUGGCAAAUAAGGCUUGUCAGUGUUCCUGUGUGUUGUGCCUUAUAGUAUAUUACGUUACCAGUUUACAGGAUUUUUAAAAUGGUAUUUACGGGGGUAGUGAUUGUGCAAAAUGUGUGUAAUGGAGAAUAUGUGUGUCGUGUGCACGUGGAAUGUGUGUGUCGUGUGCACAUACAGUGGAUGUGAGCUGCAGGUCUGUGUGGAUGGGCUGACGAAUGAUGAUAGAUAAAGGCACAGCAGUUGAUAGUCUCCUGAAGAAGUGCAGCAUAACUGAGCUAAAAUUAACUCAAGGUAAGCUUUUAAAAUACCUGUCUUUCAGAUGUUUAGGCCGAGUUUAACAAAGGGAGACAAUCAAUAUGAGGCUUUAUGAAGUGUGCUUGCUUGGAUGGAAUUU